rnacentral:rRNA from 1 species
ACUCCUGCGGGAGGCAGCAGUGGGGAAUAUUGGACAAUGGGCGCAAGCCUGAUCCAGCCAUGCCGCGUGAGUGAUGAAGGCCCUAGGGUUGUAAAGCUCUUUCACCGGUGAAGAUAAUGACGGUAACCGGAGAAGAAGCCCCGGCUAACUUCGUGCCAGCAGCCGCGGUAAUACGAAGGGGGCUAGCGUUGUUCGGAUUUACUGGGCGUAAAGCGCACGUAGGCGGACUAUUAAGUCAGGGGUGAAAUCCCGGGGCUCAACCCCGGAACUGCCUUUGAUACUGGUAGUCUUGAGUUCGAGAGAGGUGAGUGGAAUUCCGAGUGUAGAGGUGAAAUUCGUAGAUAUUCGGAGGAACACCAGUGGCGAAGGCGGCUCACUGGCUCGAUACUGACGCUGAGGUGCGAAAGCGUGGGGAGCAAACAGGAUUAGAAACCCUAGUAGUCC